AACGUAGGAGCCAAGCGUUAUCCGAAUUCACUGGGCGUAAAGCGCAUGUAGGCGGCGUGACAAGUUGGAUGUAAAAACUCCCGGCUCAACUGGGAGAGGCCGUUCAAUACUGUCAGGCUAGAGGGCGACAGAGGGAGGUGGAAUUCCGGGUGUAGUGGUGAAAUGCGUAGAUAUCCGGAGGAACACCAGAGGCGAAGGCGACCUCCUGGGUCGUACCUGACGCUCAGAUGCGAAAGCUAGGGGAGCGAACGGG
rnacentral:rRNA from 1 species